ACCAUCACACAAACACACACCUGAUCAACAUCAAAACUAAGUGCAUUUUGGAAGACUUGCUUACAGGACAAAAUACCAUCAUCCAGACAAAAUUGACUGGAAGAUGUGAAGGAAAAAAAUACCACGAGUGAAAAUGUAUCUGAACUCACAGAAGCUCAUAAUAGAGUUGAUAUGGAAACAGCAAACAUACAGUAAAUAAAUAAAUAAAUAAAUAAAUAAAGCAUAUGACAGGAUCUCUGAGCGAAGCUGCUGCAGACUGUCUCACAUGUCUACAGUCCAGCACCUGCAGGUCUGGGGGACAGGUAACACUGAGCCACUCUGCAAAUGGGGAUUUCCAAGUCAGUAAGCAGGAAAUGUUGAGGGAAUCACACAGCUCUGGGGCCUCAUGUACAAAAAACAUGGUAUAUACAUAAAUGUAUGAAUAAAAGCAGCAUUCAUUCUUUUUUCACAGAAUGAAUUCCAUCAAAAAUCUCAUCAAAAAUGAGCCCUGCAAUGUGAGCCGCUCCACACCAACUUCAGAGACGCAGUUGUGCUGACAAAACUUCUCCAGAUUCCUAAAAACCACUGGGGUUAGGUUCCGCCCUAAACUUUGCACUAAGCUUCAUUUUUUUCUUUUUUAAAUUUUUUUUGUAGGACAUUGAUGCUUCAGUGAGUCUCUUCGUCAUGGCUUACCUCUAUUUUUCCCCCGUCUAUGUGGAACGGAAAGCCCACCCCUCUGAACCAGGGUCCUACUAAACAACACUGUGGAGAGGUGGUCUUGUUCAACACAGGAGCCGAUCAUUCUAACGAACAGCUGGUUGGCACAGUGCAGAAUGGGAGGGUUCUUGUGAUUCUCCCACGCCUGAGGGUAGAAAGACACGGACCAGGCCAAGAAGUAGAUCCAUCCAAUCACUUCACUGAUCACUGACAGAACCCUGCU